rnacentral:rRNA from 1 species
CGCGGCCUAUCAGCUUGUUGGUGAGGUAACGGCUCACCAAGGCAUCGACGGGUAGCUGGUCUGAGAGGACGAUCAGCCACACUGGGACUGAGACACGGCCCAGACUCCUACGGGAGGCAGCAGUGGGGAAUCUUGCGCAAUGGGCGAAAGCCUGACGCAGCAACGCCGCGUGGGGGAUGAAGGCUCUCGGGUUGUAAACCCCUUUCAUCAGGGACGAAAUUGACGGUACCUGAAGAAGAAGCCCCGGCCAACUACGUGCCAGCAGCCGCGGUGACACGUAGGGGGCGAGCGUUGUCCGGAAUUAUUGGGCGUAAAGAGCUCGUAGGCGGUUUAGUAAGUCAGAUGUGAAAGGUUGGGGCUCAACCCUAAGACUGCAUCCGAUACUGCUAUGACUAGAGUCCGAUAGAGGAGUGUGGAAUUCCUGGUGUAGCGGUGAAAUGCGCAGAUAUCAGGAGGAACACCGACGGCGAAGGCAGCACUCUGGGCCGGUACUGACGCUCAGGAGCGAAAGCGUGGGUAGCAAACAGGAUUAGAUACCCUGGUAGUCCACGCCGUAAACGUUGGGCACUAGGUGUGGGACCUUAUCAACGGGUUCUGUGCCGUAGCUAACGCAUUAAGUGCCCCGCCUGGGGAGUACGG